UCGAACAAAACCCAUUCUUUCUCUUUUCCUUCUCUCUAUUUCUCUUCUUCUUCUCUAUUCCGCUUCUGGCUUCUCCUUCUUUCUGUCGAUCUCAGUUCAAAAGAACUGAGUUAUUCUUGUGUGAGAUGUUCAUAGAAAAUUAGGUGGCUUGAUGAAUCAAACAAGACGAAGUUAGAACUGGUGUUGUUCAAGCUUCUGGGGAAGAAGAAGGUGAUGUUAAUCUUGAAUUGAAGUUAAGGUUUCUGAAGUUAGGGUUCGUGUAGAACUGAUGAUGAUUUAGUGUUGCCGAUGGAUGAAGAAAAGAAGGGUUUUCGUCAAAUCGAUGAAGUGAAACUGUUUUGAUGCGGAAUCGAAAGAAAAAGUUUUUCAGUUAUCAGAAGAGACGGUGCUCGCGAAGAUGUUCGUUUUCUUAACUUAAAGAUUUAGAGUUGAUGCGAAUAAUAUGAACCACUUUAGGUCUGUGCAUUCUGUUUGUAAUUCACAAAUACAUUAUUUUAUUAUUAUAACUUGAGAGAUCCUUCAUUUACUUUUGCUCGAGUGGUGGGUUUAGUUUUUGGGUUAAGUUUUGUAUCUGAUUUCUAAUUUGGAAUUUAAUUAUACGAUUUAGAGCCUUAA